rnacentral:rRNA from 1 species
GGGGGGAACCCUGAUCCAGCCAUGCCGCGUGUGUGAAGAAGGCCUUUUGGUUGUAAAGCACUUUAAGCAGUGAAGAAGACUCUUCGGUUAAUACCCGGGGACGAUGACAUUAGCUGCAGAAUAAGCACCGGCUAACUCUGUGCCAGCAGCCGCGGUAAUACAGAGGGUGCAAGCGUUAAUCGGAAUUACUGGGCGUAAAGCGAGCGUAGGUGGCUUGAUAAGUCAGAUGUGAAAUCCCCGGGCUUAACCUGGGAACUGCAUCUGAAACUGUUAGGCUAGAGUAGGUGAGAGGGAAGUAGAAUUUCAGGUGUAGCGGUGAAAUGCGUAGAGAUCUGAAGGAAUACCGAUGGCGAAGGCAGCUUCCUGGCAUCAUACUGACACUGAGGCUCGAAAGCGUGGGUAGCAAACAGGAUUAGAUACCCUGGUAGUCCACGCCGUAAACGAUGUCUACUAGUCGUUGGGUCCCUUGAGGACUUAGUGACGCAGCUAACGCAAUAAGUAGACCGCCUGGGGAGUACGGCCGCAAGGUUAAAACUCAAAUGAAUUGACGGGG